UCGUAGCUCAGUUGGAUAGAGCGCCGGCCUUCUAAGCCGGAUGCCGCAGGUUCGAAUCCUGCCGG
rnacentral:tRNA from 1 species